CUUUCCCUCCGGCGUCCUCUCCCGGCCCUCUCGCGCUGCACUGUCUCUCCGACGCAAGACUGUCCCGGCCCGGAUAUGGCUCGUGGACAGCAGAAAAUUCAGUCUCAGCAGAAAAAUGCCAAAAAGCAAGCUGGACAAAAGAAGAAACAAGGACAUGACCAAAAGGCUGCUGCCAAAGCUGCCUUAAUAUAUACCUGCACUGUCUGUAGGGUAAGGGGAAUUGAAUUGAAAGAUACAGCUCUCCCGUGGGCAGUUUUGGCUUGAAUAGAUUAAAAUUUUGAAACCAUGGCAAAAUAGAUGCUUUACAUGAAAUAGUAGGUUUGAGAGCUGAUUAUUUUAGGUAUCUAUUUUCAUUCACCCUUUAAACAAAUAUUUUUUGAAUGGCUCCUGUGGCCAGGCAAAAAUCUCUAGGUGCUGGGAAAACAGAGUGAACAAAACAAAAUUGCUUUCCUCAUAUAAAAUAAAGAUGUCUUCAUAAGGGCAUAUAAUACACUUCACUAGCACAUCAUAUAACUCUACACUCUUAGAGCUAUAUAAUAUGCUAGUAAGUAUACCUCUAGUUAUAUAAUUGGUUUUUUCUUCACUAAAUUUAUAAUU
rnacentral:lncRNA from 1 species